rnacentral:rRNA from 1 species
CCCCUUCGGGUCGAUUAGCCUGCGAGUCGUGAGGGGUUAUGCCCUCGGCGGACUGCUCAGUAACACGUGGCUAAUCUGCCCUUGGGACGAGAACAACCCCGGGAAACUGGGGCUAACUCUCGAUAGGUGAAGAACUCUGGAAUGAGUCUUUGCCUAAAUAACUUCACGUUAUCCUCGUGAAGUUGCCCAAGGAUGAGGCCGCGACCGAUCAGGUUGUUGGCGAGGUAAUGGCUCACCAAGCCUUUUACCGGUGCGGGCCGUGGGAGCGGGAGCCCGGAGAUGGGUACUGAGACAAGGACCCAGGCCCUACGGGGCGCAGCAGUCGCGAAAACUUUGCAAUAAGCGCAAGCUUGACAGGGCUAUCCCGAGUGCCAUCCGCUGAGGAAGGCUUUUACCCAGUCUAGAACGCUGGGGGAAUAAGGAGAGGGCAAGUCUGGUGUCAGCCGCCGCGGUAAUACCAGCUCUCCGAGUGGUGUGGAUGUUUAUUGGGCCUAAAGCAUCCGUAGCUGGCUAGGUCAGUCCCUUGUUAAAUCCACCGAAUUAAUCGUUGGAUUGCGGGGGAUACUGCUUGGCUAGGGGACGAGAGAGGCAGACGGUAUUUUCGGGGUAGGGGUGAAAUCCUAUAAUCCCGGGAAGACCACCAGUGGCGAAGGCUGUCUGCUAGAACGCGCCCGACGGUGAGGGAUGAAAGCUGGGGGAGCGAACCGGAUUAGAUACCCGGGUAGUCCCAGCUGUAAACGAUGCAGACUAGGUGUUUGGACGGCCACGUGCCGUUCUAGUGCCGCAGGGAAGCUGUUAAGUCUGCCGCCUGGGGAGUACGAUCGCAAGAUUGAAACUUAAAGGAAUUGGCGGGGGAGCACCACAAGGGGUGAAGCUUGCGGUUUAAUUGGAGUCAACGCCGGG